GACGAACGCUGGCGGCGUGCUUAACACAUGCAAGUCGAACGGAAAGGCCCUGCUUUUGUGGGGUGCUCGAGUGGCGAACGGGUGAGUAACACGUGAGUAACCUGCCCUUGACUUUGGGAUAACUUCAGGAAACUGGGGCUAAUACCGGAUAGGAGCUCCUGCUGCAUGGUGGGGGUUGGAAAGUUUCGGCGGUUGGGGAUGGACUCGCGGCUUAUCAGCUUGUUGGUGGGGUAGUGGCUUACCAAGGCUUUGACGGGUAGCCGGCCUGAGAGGGUGACCGGCCACAUUGGGACUGAGAUACGGCCCAGACUCCUACGGGGGGCAACAGGGGGGAAUAUUGCACAAUGGGCGGAAGCCUGAUGCAGCAACGCCGCGUGCGGGAUGACGGCCUUCGGGUUGUAAACCGCUUUCGCCUGUGACGAAGCGUGAGUGACGGUAAUGGGUAAAGAAGCGCCGGCUAACUACGUGC
rnacentral:rRNA from 1 species